GUGAGGAGGGAACAUGGUGGGGGGGGGGGGGGAAGGAUGCUCGCGCAGCCCCGAGGUCUCAGGGUCGCUGCGUUUGCGAUCCGGCUUGCUUUCCUGUUUGCAAGUUAAGACGGAGUGGACGGCUCUGCUGGGGCAGUGAGCUUCCUAUUCGCCCCCAAGGCUCACGAUUCCUGGGACACCCCAUUCCCCAAAACCAGUUCCUUCUGUGGGAUGGGGGCGAGGUUCCAAGGACAGGGGAGAAGCUGUGAGGUGCUGCUCUCAUCUUUCCGUUGUCGCUGUUGUUUUGUGAGUGUUACAAUUACCAUGAUUGUUGCCGUUGUUGUUAUUAUUAUUAUUAUUAUUUUGCCAUCUGUUGUCCCAGGGGCGGGGUGCUGUGCAGACCUAGGGCUGCUCACAACCGGGGACUGCAGAUCGCACCUCCGGUUCCAGGCCGUGUCCGCAUUUUCGAGCUCGCCUUAGGUUUUGGGAUGAUUUUAGGGCCGCGUUCCCUCAUCCCCAUUGGCUCUCGCAGAGGCAUAAUUAUGAUCACAUCCCCCAGGCUGCUGGCGCUGCUCUCUGUUUAUUGGUGGUUAAAGAUCUAUUAUCUAUUCAUCAGCCGCCUCUUUUUUUUCUUUUUUCUUUUUUGCCAAUUACAUUCUUCAAGAAAAAAAAAAUGAAGUACCAGCAGGUAUUUUGCACUUUUACAAUUAAUGACAAAAAGAAAUCUGGCAUCCUUUAAAUCAUGACUUGGGAGCCCGUGUCAUUUCUGUUAAGAAUGAAGAGAUGCCUGUGUUUGGUGACUAGGUUGCCGUGAGACCCUGAAAAAGUCGAUUGAGAAGGGGGGUGAGGGGGGGAAUGGGGGAGAAGAGCAAAGUCAUGUGAUGCAGGCAGACCGACACCAGAUUGAUCCAUGGAGGGGCCCAGUUCUUAGGCCUUGUCUCUCCUCUCCCUCACCUGCCUCCCUCCCCACCCUGGGUCUCCCUUGUCCUUCUCUGGUUUUACCGGCUGUGUGUUUCUCCACUUUAUUACAGGCAUGGUUUGUUGGGGUGAGGGAAUCCAAAAAGCCCUUCCAGAAAACUCUCCAGGCGAGAGAGGCGUUAGGAGGGCACUUUCUGGGAUUGUCUAGGCGCCUGACCUUAGUGAGGGGCCCACAGAGACCCUGUGUGCUGCCCCCUCCCCUCCUCCUCCCUUCCCUGGGAGAUUCACACACACACACACACACACACGCACACACACACACACACACACGUUCACACACCAGACAGGUGUGGCUUUUAGCUUUGUCCUCACACAAAAAAACCUGCCCCCGCCUCAGGCUGCACACCUCUGACACCAGCUGUGGGCAGGGGUCCCGGCUGGGUUUUCGUCUUGAUUGGGUACUCACAGCCUUCCUAGGCCGCCCUCUGAGCCCCUUCCUUCUCCCAUACCCAGGGAUGUUGGAGGUUCCAUCCAACCUCUUGGGAUGCAGUGUAUGGAAAGACGUUCCUCUCUGGGGCCUGUACCACCGCCCCCCCCCACAAAUAUUUUCUCUAGCUCAGAACCCCCCUCCUUCCAGGAGGCUGUAGGGACAGAGACCCCAACAAGCGAAGCCUGCGCAGACCCCUAAGCUGCCUGGGAGGUGGAGGUGUUUCAGCUGGGCCAGCCAGCCAGCCUGGAAUGGAGGGAGAGGUCAGGCCUCCAUUUCCAGUGCCAGACAGAAACGCCCAGCCUGGGCCGGCUGUAAGAUCCUGGGGUGGAAGGGAGAGAGCCCACUUCUCCUUCUCCGUGGACGGCUCUUCGGGAAGGCUGGCGGGUCAGGCUCACCCUGAGGCCCUCCAAACUGACCCUUAGCUUCCACGUUGAAAACGGGGGGGGGGCGCACUAAAAGCCACCCCCAGGCUGCAAGGCUGGCAGUGACCACUCCUUGUGCAGUUAGUGAUAGUGACCUUGGUGGGGAUAUGAGAGCAGAUGACCUUGAGGGCAUCCUUCGGUGUCUCAAGGUGUGUAUUCCUAAGGGUGUUUCCCUCUUUGAAAACGCUCGGGGUGAGCUCUAAGGGGGAGUGGGCACCCCUUUAAACCCUUACCCCUCUUUGGCCAGAGUGUGUCUGGAGUCUCUUGGGAGCCCAGACCCCUCAGCCUUUCCCUCCAGGGGCAGAGGGCCCAGGCAGCUCACAGCCAGGUCUCCGCUAACAUCCACUGCUGACGGCCCGCUGACCGCUGACCGGGCCUCACAAAUCCUGCCGAGAGGGGUCAGCUUUGCCCCAGGGACUCUAAUUGUUGGGCGGUGGGCAUGGGUGUGGCAGCUGUGGGCUCUGGUGCCCGCCCUCCUGGCAGGAUCAGGACUUGCCAGUUCCUCUGCCUCCCUCCCCACUGGCCCCACGCCUCACCUGGACCCCCAAAAGGGGAAAGUGGGUUUCUAGGCAGUGGGGGAUGGGGGGAGGCACUGGGCAGCCCUGGAAGCUGGCUAAUCUAUGCUAAUUCAUGCGCCCAGCCUGGAGAUGCUUGGGAAGGUCUGUGCAGCCCCGCUGCUCCUAGGCUCCUCGGAGGCGAGGCAGCAGGUGUGGGGGAGGGGGAGUGGGGGAGAAUUAACUAGGAAAGUAGGAGAGUAACUCCUUACCUACUGGCAGGUGGAAGGCAGCCAGGGCCCGGGGACAGUCUGGCCUCUGGCCUCCAGUCCCUGGCCUGGCAGCUGCGCACAGCGCACGUUGCUGGUGGCUGAGGCCUCGCGGCAUCCAGCCCCUCUUUGUUCCUUAGCCGCCCUAGGAAGGUGAGGGCUUGCACAGGCAGCGUGUAGCGGGAAAGGGGGCUUUCUGACGGAACAAGGGGCUCCCUUUCCCCGUGGCCCAAGCAUUCUGUAGACUCAGGAAUCCACGCGCUGCAGGCAGCCAGUCCAGCAGACGUAUAGUGAAGGUUCUAAUCUUGGAUCUGGCUCUUACCGACCCCGUGAUCGUGGGCAACGUGGCAACCCCUCGGGAUGUCCACGCUGUCCUCUGUCAAAAUACGGCCAGCGGGGCCUGUUGGGAGAGUGAUAGAUCCCUCUGCUUUCUCGCGGUAAUUGCAUGUCUGUAGUAGUCAUGUUUCAAAACUCGUAGAACUAACUGUACCGUGACAAAGGGUGAUGUUUACCCAAUAGAAGUUAUACCUUAUUAUCCUGCUCCCUUCCCCCCC